AAGGUGGUGUUACCAGCUCUACCUAUAAUUUUAUCUUUAUAUUGUUUGAAAGAAAUUUAUCUUUUAUUUUUUUCCCCAGUCUAUACACCCAAUCAUUUGAGCAGGUGAAUAAUAUUACUCCCAUGAGUUGUCCCAUUAAAAGUAAAUAGGACUACUCACAUGAAUACUGUGUAGAAGCAGCAGUGAUCUGUAUGUUAUGUAUAACCUGUAUGCUCAAAAAGUCUGUUACACUUUCCUCCCCACAGUUUUGUCUCCUCUCCCUCUUUGAAUACCUGUGAAGUGGCUUUCUCCCUCCCCCUCCCUCCUGGAAUGCUUGUAGGAUGAAUGGGCUGCUUGAACAGCUGGAAGAUCAGAAGAGCUCCCAGGUAGACAAGGUGUCUGGAACUCUAAUUAGGCAGCGAUCACACACCCAAUGCAUGAACACUGCAUGGACACUGCCCGAGGUGGAGAGUGAGCAACCAGACUCGGCCAAGUCAUCUCUAGUUGCAGGCCAUGAGGAGCAAGUCCUUAAAAGGGGAGGGGGCCAUGUGCUCCGGAGUGCACUCACAAGCUUGUACAUCCCGUGAAGGCCCUUUGCCCAGACCGCCUCGCCAGUGGUUCGCUGCGUUGCAUUCCAUCAUGCCUCGGGAAGACUUAUCUUCAUCGUACCGUCCAUCGCUGCACUGUGGGACCACUUACCUUGAAGAAUCCUGACAUUUCCAGUGCCAUGCCUGUCCUAUGAGUAAGGCAAGUCCCUACCAUGAAGGACUUACAGUCUACGUUGCAGUCGACGGGACUCUGAGCGGGAGUAAGGGUCCAAGCUACUGGAUCCCACUGCAGAUCAAGGUUUAGGUGCUAAACCUGACAAACAAGUGAGAAUAUAAUAUACUCCAGGAAGAUGCAAGGGCAAGUACAAAAAUGGGUUAUGGAAAUGGGGCCUGGGUCCUGCAACUGACUCUGCAUGGAAUCAACUUUUGGAUUGGGACCUAAGACUGUACAACAACUCAAUUUAGGUAUACACUUGUCUUGAUAGUUCCUUUUUUUCUGUACAUACUUGCUUUUCUUGUAUAUGUACUAUACAUUUUAUGUGGCCUGCUUUGUUUUCUCCUUUCAUUCUAUAACUUUUAUUUCUAUAGCUAUCUGGACUUUGUUUCUCCCUCUAAAACUCUUCACUUUAUAAGUUCAGUGAUUUAUUUUCAUAGUCUGUUAUCUAAAUAUUAUAUGGUUUUGAAUUGUUCAUCAGAAAUGUAAACUUUUUGUAAGUAAAAACAAAAUAUUAUUUUCAUGUACUUUUGUAUAAUGAAACAAAGCAAAAGAAAUAUGGUUUCCUAGGAAAAUGUCAGAGCUAAAUAAAGAAACAUAAAAACAAUGUACCUCUGGGGAAUAUAAGAAUGUAAUAGGGCUGAUCAUAUUUGCCAGAAUGUUGAGCACAAACACAUAAGGUUGAUUAAGUCUGUCAUAACAGUGGAUGGUUAAGUCCUAUGACAGAAAAAUAUGACACAUUGAUAUGCCUAGGUAGUAUAUUUUUACACGGUCAAAAUCAUUAUUGCUGUGAAAGUACCCUCCAAAAACAACCAAACUCAUUGCUGUACUAAUUUUUGUGGGGCAGAACUUUAAUGUCAGAUAUGUUGCAUUUGUAUGCUGCUGUGUAAUAUAAAAUCUGAUAGUAUUUUUGCACAUGCAAACCUGAUAGUAGGUUUUUGAGAUAUGUGGUAACCAGUAUAAUGAAUCUAAGAUGGGGGUGUACAGGGAGAUUUUAGCAAACCAGUAAAGUGCCUGAAACCACUAUGGAUUAUUGCUAAAUGUAGCCAAGUCAGCAGGCCUUAAAGUGGCCAUGUAGUGAGCUCAGCUUGACCAAGGCAGGAGGAGAGGGAGUUUUAGGUGCCACAGAAAGGGCAGCUAGACCCCACAUCUUUCCUGAUAAGAAUUGUGUUGAAGUUGAUGAUACAUGCAUUUUAGAAGAGCAGGAUGUGCCCCAGGAAUGUCUAUUGGGGUCUCAAGGCUGAAAACUCUGGAAAAACCCACACCUGGAUAAUCAAUAAUCAGAAGGAACCUCUUGCUUGACCAUUGAAACUGCUAGCUUAACAAGUUUUCUUUAAGGGACAUGUCAUUGUGUUACUAAUGUAUAAAAUAAGGGGGAAGAGUUGGGGGGGGGUCUCUGGGACUGGACUCUCCCUCUGGAUGCAUCUUGUGUUCCCCACCGGCAGACGGGCGGCCUCUGUGCCACUCGAGAGCCACACUCAGCUUCAGUAAUUAUCGAGGGUUGGAGGUGUUUUACUAACCUGUUGCGGACGUGUGUAAGUGCUUGAGUCUAAAUAAAGCUUAGCUUUAAGUGAAA